UACGUAGGGUGCGAGCGUUAGUCGGAAUUACUGGGCGUAAAGCGUGCGCAGGCGGUUCUGAAAGUCAGCUGUGAAAGCCCCGGGCUUAACCUGGGAAUUGCGGUUGAAACUACAGGGCUAGAAUCUGGCAGAGGGGGGUGGAAUUCCACGUGUAGCAGUGAAAUGCGUAGAGAUGUGGAGGAACACCGAUGGCGAAGGCAGCCCCCUGGGCUGAGAUUGACGCUCAGGCACGGAAGCGUGGGGAGCAAACAGG
rnacentral:rRNA from 1 species